GAUGAACGCUGGCGGCGUGCCUAAUACAUGCCAGUCGAGCGAACGGACGAGAAGCUUGCUUUUCUGAUGUUAGCGGCGGACGGGUGAGUAACACGUGGAUAACCUACCUAUAAGACUGGGAUAACUUCGGGAAACCGGAGCUAAUACCGGAUAAUAUUUUGAACCGCAUGGUUCAAAAGUGAAAGACGGUCUUGCUGUCACUUAUAGAUGGAUCCGCGCUGCAUUAGCUAGUUGGUAAGGUAACGGCUUACCAAGGCAACGAUGCAUAGCCGACCUGAGAGGGUGAUCGGCCACACUGGAACUGAGACACGGUCCAGACUCCUACGGGAGGCAGCAGUAGGGAAUCUUGCGCAAGGGGCGAAAGCCUGACGGAGCAACGCCGCGUGAGUGAUGAAGGUCUUCGGAUCGUAAAACUCUGUUAUUAGGGAAGAACAUAUGUGUAAGUAACUGUGCACAUCUUGACGGUACCUAAUCAGAAAGCCACGGCUAACUACGUG
rnacentral:rRNA from 1 species